UACGGAGGGGGCUAGCGUUAUUCGGAAUUACUGGGCGUAAAGCGCACGUAGGCGGAUUGGAAAGUUGGGGGUGAAAUCCCAGGGCUCAACCCUGGAACUGCCUCCAAAACUUCUUGUCUUGAGGUCGAGAGAGGUGAGUGGAAUUCCGAGUGUAGAGGUGAAAUUCGUAGAUAUUCGGAGGAACACCAGUGGCGAAGGCGGCUCACUGGCUCGAUACUGACGCUGAGGUGCGAAAGCGUGGGGAGCAAACAG
rnacentral:rRNA from 1 species